rnacentral:tRNA from 1 species
GCGGAUGUCGGCAAGCGGUCUAAGCCCUCGGUUUGUGGCACCGAUAUUCGCGGGUUCAAAUCCCGUCAUCCGCCCCA